rnacentral:misc_RNA from 1 species
GUAGGUGAACCUGCGGAAGGAUCAUUAACACGUUCUUAACAAACGUUUUAAAACCCCAAAAUUAAUCUGUGAACUUGAACUUUUCCCCUCCCUAAAUUUGUUUUUAUUAACAAACCCCUUUUUUUAAUUCUUAUGAACUGAAAAAACAAAAUCGGAAAAGUAUUUAUAUUUUUCUAUUUAAAAAAAUGCUGAACAACUCUUAACAACGGAUAUCUUGGUUCUCGCAUCGAUGAAGAACGCAGCAUCUGAC